AAUAAAACGAAGGUAAAUGUGACUCUCAUCUACAAUAUUUACCAUAGGCCUGAUAGGAAUUUUAGUUUAAGCAUGAGACGCCAAGUGCCUUAUUUCAGUGAACAUUAAAAAUAUUAUUUUCGAUUAAAAGAGGGAUCAAUUUGAAAGGCAAUCACGGAGGUAGAACUACCGGUACUACCUUGAAACUCAAAUACAGGAACAGGAACUGUAGAGUGGACAAUAAAACCAUUCUUCGUAAACCGCUCCUCUAACUCUUGAAUUGUCCAAUUGCAACUGGUAAUGAGAAAAAUGCCAUUGGGGGAUAGCAUACCGCGAACCCUAUCAACAUAAACACUGUUCAACGGACGACCAUCCAAAAGCUCCCCACUUAAAGAGAUGGCAUCAAACGUACCUUUGUCAAGUAUUAAAUCCCAAUCUUUUGAGCAAAAUUUAGAAUCUUUAAUGAUGUCGAGUUGCUGGAAUUUGACUUUAUCUGAAAACUGACGAUGUCUAGCAAUGUUUUUAGCCAAAACAAUUGCAGCUUCGCUAUAAUCUACACCUACCAAUUGGCAAGGGCUUGGAAGCAGUGUAUCUUCUUCUUCAAGCAAACGAAAUAAUAAAUGCCCAUUACCAGUACCCAGGUCCAGGACACGAAAAGGCGCCGCUUCCGAUACUUCUCUAAAUGAGGUGGAAAUGUGAUCUUCUAACCAUUGAACAAUUCGUUCUUCAGCCUCUUCACCAAACCAAACUUCCCCUUCGUCAUUAAAUUCUGUAAAGUUGGAUACUUCACGUUCAUAGACAUUAUCCCAGCUAAAAACCUUUAGUAAUAUGCCCAAUAAGAAAACAAUAAUGUUUAAAAACAUACUAUUGUUUUGUUCCCAGCUUUGAUUCCGGUAAUCCACUCAUUGUCCUUUUUUUUUAUUUUAUCUUUCAAGACUUU